UGUUUUGCCCUAACCUUUUAAACUGAGUUGCACAUUAUGCAAACCAAACCAAACAUAUGCAAGUGCAAGGGCUUAAGAAAUUACCAAGGUAGUCAUUAUUCUUUUGUGUUUUUAAGUCAUUGCACAUGAAAUGGAUUGUGCUAUCUCUCCUCCCCUCCCUCACCCACCACCUUCCCCCCUCUGCCCCCGCCCCCCCCGCGGCCCCCUGCUUCUCUCUCUCUCUCCUUCCUUCUAGCCUUUACUUCCCACUUAACCUUUGUCACUUAUCUUUGCCAGUACGAAGAAUAUGGAGG
rnacentral:misc_RNA from 1 species